UACGGAGGGGGCUAGCGUUGUUCGGAAUUACUGGGCGUAAAGCGCACGUAGGCGGCUUUUUAAGUCAGAGGUGAAAGCCCGGAGCUCAACUCCGGAAUUGCCUUUGAGACUGGAUCGCUUGAACGUCGGAGAGGUGAGUGGACUUCCGAGUGUAGAGGUGAAAUUCGAUGAGAUAUUCGGAAGAACACUAGUGGCGGAAGGCGGACUCGACUGGACGACGUAGUU
rnacentral:rRNA from 1 species